rnacentral:lncRNA from 1 species
UAAACGGAUCAUAAAGUUUAACGACACAAAUACACUCAAAAGAAAUCCAGAGAUCAUCAUUUAAGUAUAUUAAAAACCGGAAGAGACUGCAAGACAAAAAUUGAACAUGGCAUAAUUUCAAGAAGAUACUUAGAUUUCUUAUCCCAGACAUAGAUACCUUAGCGUAUUUGACAUACCUUUUUGGAACUUUGGGUCCUUAAUGCUCUUCAAAUUUGUACUUGUUUGGCUUUAUAACUAUUUUAAUGUGAGCGUCACUGAUGAGGUCUUAUGUAGAAGAAACGCGCGUCUGGCUAUUGAAUUAUAAGACUGGUGCAUUUGAUAACUGUUCAGAAUAAGAAAGUUCCAAAUAAACAGGGCCUCUGUCAAUACAAUAACAGACGAUUUUGUUACAAACACUCUACGACUAGUAGUUAAAGGAAGC